UACGAAGGGGGCUAGCGUUGCUCGGAAUUACUGGGCGUAAAGCGCACGUAGGCGGAUUGUUAAGUCGGGGGUGAAAUCCUGGAGCUCAACUCCAGAACUGCCUUCGAUACUGGCGAUCUCGAGUUCGGGAGAGGUGAGUGGAACUGCGAGUGUAGAGGUGAAAUUCGUAGAUAUUCGCAAGAACACCAGUGGCGAAGGCGGCUCACUGGCCCGAUACUGACGCUGAGGUGCGAAAGCGUGGGAGCAAACAGGG
rnacentral:rRNA from 1 species